UACGUAGGGUCCGAGCGUUGUCCGGAAUUAUUGGGCGUAAAGCGUGCGCAGGCGGUCUUGCAAGACAGAUGUGAAAGCCCCGGGCUUAACCUGGGAACUGCAUUUGUGACUGCAAGGCUGGAGUGCGGCAGAGGGGGAUGGAAUUCCGCGUGUAGCAGUGAAAUGCGUAGAUAUGCGGAGGAACACCGAUGGCGAAGGCAAUCCCCUGGGCCUGCACUGACGCUCAUGCACGAAAGCGUGGGGAGCAAACAGG
rnacentral:rRNA from 1 species